UCAAGAAACUUCCACAAUGGGCGAAAGCCUGAUGGAGCGACGUCGCGUGAUGGACGAAGUGCUUCGGCACGUAAACAUCUUUUAUGUGGGAUGAAAUUAUUGACAGUACCACAUGAAUAAGGGGCUCCUAACUCUGUGCCAGCAGGAGCGGUAAUACAGAGGCCCCAAGCGUUAUCCGGAAUCACUGGGCGUAAAGGGUGUCGAGGCGGUUGUAUUAGUCGUUCGUAAAAUCUACGAGCUUAACUUGUAGGCGGCGAACGAAACGGUACGACUUGAGGUUUGGAGAGGUGCGUGGAACUCACGGUGUAGGGGUGAAAUCCGUUGAUAUCGUGGGGAACACCAAAGGCGAAGGCAGUGCACUGGCCAAAAUCUGACGCUCACACACGAAAGCUAGGGUAGCGAAGAGGAUUAGAUACCCUCGUAGUCCCUGAGCGGGCUGGCAAGGCGCAU
rnacentral:rRNA from 1 species